CACCCGGCUACAUCUCGAACCCGGUCGUUAAGGACGUCAGCGCCGAUGGUACUUGGAGGGCGACUUCCUGGGAGAGUAGGUCGUUGCCAAGA
rnacentral:rRNA from 1 species